rnacentral:lncRNA from 1 species
UAAACCCUCCCCAUCCUCUCAAGUUCACUCAAAACUUCUCAAACCCUAGCAACUUUGACCCUGAAAUCCGCUGGAAUCCAUGGCGUCCAAGGCUAUGGAAGCCUUGUAUCCCUCUCCUAUUGCUCCUACACGCCUGAUUUUUGAAGAUUCAAGGCCUGACCAUGAAGGGUCGUAUCCGUACCUUUGUUGAUCGAGUUCCAUGGCCAUCUCUAAUUUUAACCUCUUCGACUUGGAUCAGUGACUUUUCAAAGCCUUUCUCACUACUAGGGCUCUUCUGAAAC